AUUGAACGCUGGCGGCAGGCCUAACACAUGCAAGUCGAGCGGAAACGAGUUCWUUGACCCUUCGGGUAAYGWGAUCGGCGUCGAGCGGCGGACGGGUGAGUAAUGCCUGGGAAAUUGCCCUGAUGUGGGGGAUAACCAUUGGAAACGAUGGCUAAUACCGCAUAAUAGCUUCGGCUCAAAGAGGGGGACCUUCGGGCCUCUCGCGUCAGGAUAUGCCCAGGUGGGAUUAGCUAGUUGGUGAGGUAAGGGCUCACCAAGGCAACGAUCCCUAGCUGGUCUGAGAGGAUGAUCAGCCACACUGGAACUGAGACACGGUCCAGACUCCUACGGGAGGCAGCAGUGGGGAAUAUUGCACAAUGGGCGCAAGCCUGAUGCAGCCAUGCCGCGUGUAUGAAGAAGGCCUUCGGGUUGUAAAGUACUUUCAGCAGUGAGGAAGGUUCAUACGUUAAUAGCGUAUGGAUUUGACGUUAGCUGCAGAAGAAGCACCGGCUUAAACUCCGUGCCAGCAGCCGCGGUAAUACGGAGGGUGCGAGCGUUAAUCGGAAUUACUGGGCGUAAAGCGCAUGCAGGUGGUUUGUUAAGUCAGAUGUGAAAGCCCGGGGCUCAACCUCGGAAUUGCAUUUGAAACUGGCAGACUAGAGUACUGUAGAGGGGGGUAGAAUUUCAGGUGUAGCGGUGAAAUGCGUAGAGAUCUGAAGGAAUACCGGUGGCGAAGGCGGCCCCCUGGACAGAUACUGACACUCAGAUGCGAAAGCGUGGGGAGCAAACAGGAUUAGAUACCCUGGUAGUCCACGCCGUAAACGAUGUCUACUUGGAGGUUGUGGCCUUGAGCCGUGGCUUUCGGAGCUAACGCGUUAAGUAGACCGCCUGGGGAGUACGGUCGCAAGAUUAAAACUCAAAUGAAUUGACGGGGGCCCGCAACAAGCGGUGGAGCAUGUGGUUUAAUUCGAUGCAACGCGAAGAACCUUACCUACUCUUGACAUCCAGAGAACUUUCCAGAGAUGGAUUGGUGCCUUCGGGAACUCUGAGACAGGUGCUGCAUGGCUUGUCGUCAGCUCGUGUUGUGAAAUGUUGGGUUAAGUCCCGCAACGAGCGCAACCCUUAUCCUUGUUUGCCAGCACUU
rnacentral:rRNA from 2 species